rnacentral:rRNA from 1 species
UACGUAGGUGGCAAGCGUUGUUCGGAAUUACUGGGCGUAAAGGGCUCGUAGGCGGCCAAUUAAGUCAGACGUGAAAUCCCUCGGCUUAACCGGGGAACUGCGUCUGAUACUGGAUGGCUUGAAUCCGGGAGAGGGAUGCGGAAUUCCAGGUGUAGCGGUGAAAUGCGUAGAUAUCUGGAGGAACACCGGUGGCGAAGGCGGCUCUCUGGACAGGUACUGACACUGAGACGCGAAAGCGUGGGGAGCAAACAGG